GUCUAGGGGCUACCUUGGGUUUGAAUGCCCCGCAGCUUUUGGAAGCCUACCUCUGAUGUUUCCUUAAGCCUUGUUGGAAAGGCCGCACUAUGGCUUUGGGCAGCGUUCACACCCUUAGCCCGCCUUAAGCUGUGUGGCCUUGGGUGGGUUAUGCGACCUCUCUGAGCUGCCCAGGUGACUUCUCUGCAAAAUGGGAUGGUAAAAUCCGAGUUGGUGCUAAAUCGUAACGUUCAUGCUGCAUAGCAGGCCUUCAGCAGACCGGCCUCUGUCAUCUGGUAGCACCACUGGCUCUGGGUAGAUGUGAGAAGCAGCUUUCUAAGGCGGCCCGCUCGGCUCGCAUUCCCGCCCGGAUUCAAAGGACUGACAAUUCCUUCUCUCCCUCAGCAAUGUCUUCCCUAUCUAAUCCUAACAAGCAAGCCUUAAGGAAUUGCAGAGUUUCCGGUUGAAGGUUCUCCAGGCCCCCUUGUUUAAGGACAGAUUUACUCUCACUGAAGAACAGAAGAGAAUCCGAAACACACAAGUGUCUCUACCUUAAGCAGGAGAGGGAGUGGGUGGGAGCUCCCCAGAUGGCCUUUACCUUGGACUUUUUUCUUUCUCCCUCAUUUGGGGUGCUAGUGACCUGGGCUCUGGCCCACGACACUUUCUGUAAGCAGGAACCGUGGAUGUCACGACUAAGGAAGAGAUCUCGUGUGUAUUCUUGAGCUCUUCUGCGAGGUGAGACUCAUUUGAACAAGAGAGGCGGCUGCCAGAGCACACUGAACAUGCCUCGGAUAUUCAGGGAGAGUGAAAACCAACUCUAGUCACCUGAAGAAAGACAAGGCUUUGAUUUCCAUCGUGAUGAGAGGUACAGGUGAAUGCAGGCGCUUCAGGGACGCCCUUAGGUAUUCUGGCACCAGCCUGGUUCUCCUCCUGCCCCACUCUCUGGAAGAUUUCACAUUCCGGGCACCUCAUCUUCCUUACCCAGCAACGAUGUUUUGUGUCUUGAUCCCAGUUGAAGAGCCUGGCACACAAACAGCCUAGGCUAUUCAUUCCUGGAGCAAUUUUACAUAUGCAAGACGGAAGCCAAGACUGAUGUCUUCAUCCCGGACGUGCUGGUUCACACACAUUCUGGGUGAACGAGUCAUGCUCAGGGGUCAGAACAGGAAGUGGCUACUGUUGGACGAAAGAUUCUGCAGGAAAAGAUGAAAGAUGCUUCAUGGCUCUGGGAGUGGAGAAAGAGAAAAGAGGCCAGCCUUGUCUGCAGCUGUCACGGUGAAAAGUUCCAGACACUGGAGACUCAGGUGCUGGCAGACGAUUUAUGAGAAGUGACAUCUUGGGACAGAGGCUACCUCCAACCAGAGCCCCAUUCCUGCCUGAGCCAUGCUUGGGACAGCGAAAUUUCUGGAAGCUGGAAGUCCAGGAUCAAGGUGCCAGCAGAUUCGGUGUCUGUACUUGCGAAGUAAUACACUCGGGAGAAGAAAACGUACACACGCGACGCAACAACUAGCCCCGGCGUGAUGGGACGUGGGCGCCAACAGUGAGUGACCACCCCGCGGCGCGGGUACCGGCCCGAGGGCCCGGGAGGGAGGGGCACGCACCGCCGGGAGGAUCUGGGACUGCAAGAUGAUGCUGUUGGGAAGGCCGUUCUGCCUGCUCUCGGUCGUGGCCUCGGCCCACGUCACGUGGAAGCCGGUCACGGGCCGCUGGACGGCGGCCUUGCUCGUCUUCCAGGAGAAGCGCCCCGUGACGUUCGUGUCCCGCACCACGAAGGAGGCCGAGAGGUUCUCGGGCUUGGCGUGCACUUUGGAAUGAACGUGACCUGGAGCAGCGGGAAGAGGAAGGCCGGGUCAGGGGAUGGAGAGCGCGCAGGGGCCCUCGGCGGCAGAGUAAAGGCUCCUGAGCACAGUUUCCUGCUUCCUGACCGACCCUCGUGCUUCCCCACGUGGCCCGAGUGGUGUGGAGGGUCCCUGCUCCUGGAGGCUGGCAAAGAUGGCACCACAGGGCUUUGGAGAAAGAAUUACUUUUCAAGUAAAUGACACUAAAUCAGUUGGAGAUGAAGAGGAAAAGAAAAAUGGUAUUGUGUUUUUUGACCACAUGGCUAUGAGACGACUAGAAAUCAACUACAAGAAAAAAACUGCAAAAAAACACAUGUGGAGACUAAACAGUAUGCCACUAAACAACCAAUGGAUCACUGAAGAAGUCAAAGAGGAAAUAAAAAAAUACCUAGAGGCAAAUGAAAACAAGAACAUGAUGAUUCAAAACCUAUGGGACACAGCAAAAACAGUUCAAUGAGGGAAGUUUAUAGCAAUGCAAGCUUACCUCAGAAAACAAGAAAAAUCUAAAAAUAACCUAACCUUACACCUAAAGCAACUAGAGAAAGAAGAACAAACAAACCCCAAAGUUAGUAGGAGAAAAGAAAUCGUAAAGAUCAUAAGUAAAUGAAAUGGAGACUAAAAAAAUAAUAGAAAAGAUCAAAGAAACUAAAAAGCUGGUUCUUUGAAAAGAUAAAGUUGAUAAACCUUUAGCCAGACUCAUCAAGAAGAAAAAGGGAGAAGGCUCAAAUCAAUAAAAUUAGAAAUGAAAAAGGAGAAGUUACAACCAACACCAGAGAAAUAGAAAGAAUCAUAAGAGACUACUACAAGCAACUAUAUGCCAAUAAAAUAGACAACCUAGAAGAAAUGGACAAACUCUUAGAGAGGUACAGUCUCCCAAGACUGAACCAGGAAGAAAUAGGAAAUAUGAACAGACCAAUUACCAGUACUGAAAUUGAAACUGUGAUUAAAAAACUCCCAACAACCAGAGUCCAGGACCAGAUGGCUUCACAGGCAAAUUCUAUCAAACAUUUAGAUGGCUUCACAGGCAAAUUCUAUCAAACAUUUAGAGAAGAGUUAGUUAAUACCUGUGCUUCUGAAACCAUUCCAAAAAACUGCAGAGGAAGGAACACAUCCGAAUUCAUUCUAUGAGGCCAUCAUCACCCUGAUACCAAAACCAGCCAAAGAUACCACAAAAAAAGAAAAUUAUAGGCCAGUAUCUUUGAUGAACAUAGAUGCAAAAAUCCUCAACAAAAUACUAGCGAACCAAAUCGAACAGUAUAUUAAAAGGAUCAUACACCAUGAUCAAGUGGGAUUUAUCCCAGGGAUGCAAGGAUUCUUUAAUAUCCUUAAAUCAAUCAGUGUGAUACACCACAUUAACAGACUGAAGAAUAAAAACCAUAUGAUCAGCUCAAUAGAUGCAGAAAAAGCUUUUGAUAAAAUUCAACAUCAAUUUAUGAUAAAAACUCUCCUGAAAGUGGGCAUAGAGGGAACCUACCUCAACAUAACGAAGGCCAUAUACGACAAAACCACAGCUAACCUCAUUCUCAAUGGUGAAAAGCUGAAAGCAUUUCCUCCAAGAUCAGGAACAAGACAAGGUUGCCCACUCUUGCCACUUUUAUUCAACAUAGUUUUGGAAGUCCUAGCCACAGCAAUCAGAGAAGAAAGGGAAUCCAGAUUGGAAAGGAAGAUGUAAAACUGUCACUGCUUGCAUAUGACAUGAUACCAUACAUUAAAAAACCCUUAAGAUACUACCAGAAUACUACUGGAGCUCAUCAAUGAAUUCAGUAAAGUUGCAGAAUACAAACUUAAUAUACAGAAAUCUGUUGUAUUUCUGUACACUACAACAAACUAUCAGAAAGAGAAAUUAAGGAAACAAUCCCAUUUACCAUUGCAUCAAAAAGAAUAAAAUACCAUUCAUACUCUGGUUUCUCUUCAGAUCAUAUAAAUCUUUUGCCUUUUACUAAAGAUUUCUGUGGAGAGGGGAAAAAAAAAAAAGAAUAAGAUACCUAGGAAUAAACCUACCUAAAGAGGCAAAAGACCUGUACUCCAAAAACUACAGGAUGCUGAUGAAAGAAACUGAAGUUGACAGAGAUGGACAGUUAUACCAUACUGUUGAACUGGAAGAAUCAAUACUGUUAUAAUAACCAUACUACCCAAGGCAAUCUACAGAUUCAAUGCAAUCCCUAUCAAAUUACCAAUGGCAUUUUUCAAAGAACUAGACCAAAAAAUUUUUAAAUGUCUGUGAAACACAAAAGACCUCAAAAAUAGCCACAACAAUCUUGAGAAAGAAGAACAGAGCUGGAGGAAUCACAGCUCCUUGACUUCAGACUAUACUACAAAGCUACAGUAAAUACUAUGGUACUGGCAGAAAAACAGAAAUAUAGAUCAAUGGAACAGGAUAGAAAGUCCAGAAAUAAACCCACACACUUAUGGUCAAUUAAUCUAUGACAAAGGAGGCAAGAAUAUACAUUGGAGAAAAGACAGUCUCUUCAAUAAGUGGUGCUGGGAAAACUGAACAGCUACAUGUAAAAGAAUGAAAUUAGAACAUUCUCUAAGACGAUACACAAAAAGAAACUCAAAAUGGCUUAAAGACUAAAAUAUAAGUCAUGACACCAUAAAACUCCUAGGAUAGAGUAUUGGCAAAAUAUUCUCUUACACAAAUCGUACAAACGUUUUCGUAUGUCAGUCUUCCAAAGCAAUAGAAAUAAAAGCAAAAAGAAACAAAUGGGACCUACUCAAAAUUACAAGCUUUUGCACAGAAAGGAAACCAUAAACAAAAUAAAAAGAUACCCUAUGCACUGGGAGAAAAUAUUUGCAAAUGAUGCAAUCAACAAGGGUUUAAUUUCCAAAAUAUACAAACAGCUCGUAGAGUUUAAUAACAAGAAAACAACCCAAUCCAAAAAUGGGCAGAAGACCUAAACAGACAUUUCUCCAAAGAAGACAAUACAGAUGGUCAAUAGGCACAUGAAAAGAUGCUCAUUAUCACUAAUUAUUAGAGAAAUGCAAAUCAAAACUACAAUGACGUACCACCUCACACCAGUCAGAAUGGCGAUCAUUAAAAAGUCUACAAAUAAUAAAUGCUGGAGAGGAUGUGGAGAAAAGUGAACCCUCCUACACUGUUGGUGGGAAUGUAAACUGGUGCAGCCACUAUAGAGAACAGUAUGGGGUUUCCUCAAAAAACUAAAAAUAGCACUACCAUAUGAUCCAGCAGUCCCACUCCUGUGCAUAUAUCCAGACAAAACUAUAAUUUAAAAAGAUACAUGCACCCCUGUGUUCGUAGCAGCACUAUUUACACUAGCCAAGACAUGGAAGCAACCUAAGUGUCCAUCAACAGAUGAACGGAUAAAGAAGAUGUGGUACAAAUAUACAAUGGAAUAUUACUCAGCCAUAGAAAAGAAUGAAGUAAUGCCAUUUGCAGCAAUAUGAAUGGACCUAGAGAUGAUCAUACUAAGUGAAGUCAGAGAAAGACAAAUAUCAUGAUGUCACUUAUAUGUGAAUGUAAAAAAAAUUAUAAAAAUAAAAUUACUUACAAAAAGAAA